GACUUGUCACUUAUUUUCCGAGUCUUAGAGUCUUAAGGACUAUCCGGAUCGCACUUUCUCAAGCUUCCCUCCGGGUGAGAUGUUUCGGAGGAAAUUACUACAUAGCACCGACUUGGCCCUGGCAUUAUUGAUCAAUUUUUUUUCGUGGGAUUUCCCAUUGGCCCCUGGGAUACCUUGGGAUGAUUGAAACCUGGACCUGCAUGCAGGACUUGGAUGCCACUUUGGAGGUUGGAGGUCUUAGCCCAGAGAUGCCACAUCACAGAUCUAACUAACCCUUUGCUGGACCACGGUGUCAUGUUCCUCGGGAGGUCUCUGCUGAAGGCAUGAUUCUAGAUACAGUCCUGCGGCGGUCAGGUCAGAGGAAAUGAACCACAUCCCCCAACGACUAGACGGAAGCACGCACAAGCUCCUUCCUCCCGAGGAGCGUUUCCAGUGACUUGAGCUUGGUUGGCCCAGGUCAUUUGACUAGAAGCUUUGUCUGCGUGCACUGAGUGAGGAUCCGGCCCUACUGUGUGUAUCCCUACUGCGUGCUCCUGGACCUGUUGGGUUUGACUCUUGAUUUGCUGUUUUUGGGUAUUCACUGGCUGAGGACAGUGGCUGUGUUCAGUGGCUGUAAAUAAAUGGAGCUUGAACUCA
rnacentral:lncRNA from 1 species